UGUAAUAGACAAUAGUUGUCAGCAAGACUAACAAAACAAAACAGGACAGAACCACAUUUGCUGUGUCUGUCAUUGUUUAUUCACGCAGCUCUCUCUCCACUCACAACCAGCAACACCACUCCUCUCUCCAUUUCCUUCUUCUUUGUUUCUUUCUCAAACUUCAAAUGCAGUUGCCAAUGAUGGUGUUUUUCUGUGUUUCAUUUUUCAAGGUUGGAACUGCUGUUGUCACCCGCCAAGAUGGAAGAUUGGCAGUUGGAAGAUUAGGGACUCUCUGUGAGCAGAUUAAGGAACUGAAUUCCUUAGGAUAUGAGGUUAUUUUGGUGUCAUCUGGUGCUGUUGGUAUUGGCCGCCAAAGACUCAGAUACAGGAAAUUAAUCAACAGCAGCUUUACUGAGCUACAGAAUCCGCAAUUUGACCUUGAUGGCAAGGCUUGUGCUGCUGUUGGACAAAGUAGUCUUAUGGCUCUUUAUGAUACUUUGUUUGGUCAACUCGACGUGACAUCUGCUCAGCUUCUAGUGACAGACAAUGAUUUUAGAGAUAAAGAUUUCAGAAAGCAACUAUCUGAAACUGUGAAAUCCUUGUUAGCUCUAAAAGUCAUUCCAGUAUUCAAUGAGAAUGAUGCCGUCAGUACUAGGAAAGCUCCAUAUGAGGAUUCUUCUGGAAUAUUUUGGGAUAAUGAUAGUUUAUCUGCUUUAUUGGCUCUGGAGUUAAAAGCCGAUCUUCUUGUUUUGUUGAGUGAUGUUGAAGGUCUUUAUAGCGGCCCUCCAAGUGACCCACAUUCAAAGCUCAUUCGUGCAUAUAUUAAGGAAAGGCAUCAGAAUGAAAUUACUUUUGGCGACAAGUCUAGGGUGGGAAGAGGUGGAAUGACAGCCAAAGUAAAAGCUUCUGUUCAUGCUGCUGAGGCUGGCAUUCCUGUUAUUAUUACCAGUGGUUUUGAAACUGAAAGCAUCAUUAACAUUCUCCAAGGACAACAUAUUGGAACCCUCUUCCAUAAAGAUGCACAUGAGUGGACCACAUUGAAAGACGUUGAUGCACGCGAGAUGGCUGUUGCAGCCAGGGAAUGUUCCAGACGGCUUCAGGCAUUAUCUUCAGAAGAGAGGAAACAAAUUUUACUAAAAAUAGCUGAUGCGCUGGAAGCAAAUGAAAAAGUGAUCAAGAAUGAAAAUGAAGCUGAUAUAGCUGCUGCACAGCAAGCAGGAUAUGAAAAAUCUUUGGUGGCUAGGCUAGCUUUAAAACCUGGGAAGAUUGAAAGCCUUGCGAACAACUUGCGAAUUAUUGCAAAUAUGGAAGAACCAAUUGGCCAAGUAUUAAAACGAACUGAGCUUUCAGAUGGGCUAAUUUUGGAGAAAACAUCAUCUCCUUUGGGAGUUCUUCUGAUUAUUUUUUAGUCUCGCCCUGAGGCACUAGUACAGAUAGCUUCCUUGGCAAUCAGAAGUGGGAAUGGACUUCUCUUGAAAGGAGGCAAGGAAGCUUUGCGAUCAAAUGCAAUUUUGCACAAAGUAAUUACUGAAGCCAUACCAGAUACUGUUGGUGGAAAACUUAUUGGACUUGUGACAUCAAGAGCAGAAAUUCCUGAACUACUUAAGCUGGAUGACGUAAUUGAUCUGGUGAUUCCAAGAGGCAGCAAUAAACUUGUAUCUCAGAUCAAGAGUUCCACAAAAAUUCCCGAGUUGGGUCAUGCAGAUGGAAUUUGCCACGUCUAUGUUGACAAGUCUGCUAACACGGAGAUGGCAAGGCAGAUUGUACUGGAUGCAAAAGUAUAUUAUCCAGCAGCCUGCAAUGCCAUGGAAACACUUCUUGUCCACAAGGAGUUAAUAGAGAAAGGUUGGCUUAAUGAUAUUAUAGUUGACCUACAAACGAAAGGUGUUACAUUAUAUGGAGGACCAAAGGCAACUUCUUUGUUAAAUAUUCCACAGGCACGUACGUUUCAUCAUGAGUACAGUUCAUUGGCUUGCACUGUUGAAAUUGUGGAUGAUGUGUAUGCAGCUAUUAAUCAUAUAAAUCUUUAUGGAAGUGCACAUACUGAUUGCAUCGUUGCAGAAGAUCAUGAAGUAGCUGAUGUGUUCCUACGCCAAGUAGACAGUGCGUCUGUUAUUCACAAUGCAAGCACAAGAUUUUGUGAUGGGGCACGAUUUGGACUAGGUGCAGAGGUUGGAACAAGUACAAGCAGGAUUCAUGCUCGAGGCCCAGUUGGCGUUGAAGGAUUGUUGACAACAAGAUGGAUUCUGAAAGGAAGUGGACAAGUAGUAGAUGGUGAUAAAGAGAUUGUCUACACCCACAGAGACCUUGCAACUUAAUUUGGCUGUUGUCUGCUGUAUUUUCUUCUGUAACCUCUUGUCAUGGGAUUGCAGGGUGGAGUUGUACGAUUAAACAGGGGUAUUUGUAUUAACUGUUGAUUUUUUUUCCUAAAGAUGUUUCCGGCAAUGUCAAUUACAGGACUUGUGAGGAUUUUGUUAUUUAAUGCAUUUGUUUUUGGAGUGAGCAAAUGAAUAUUAUAACCUUUCCUUUCAGCUUAAACACUUACAUUAUCUA